rnacentral:lncRNA from 1 species
GCAUAUCUCUUACCCUUUCUCUCUAGAAAAACCUUGUUCAAUGUAAUUCUCUCUCUAAAAUACCUUGAUGCUUCGCUGCAAUCCUCUGUGUCUAAAAAACCUUCAUAUGCGAUCCCUCCCUCAAAACUGUAAUUUCCCUGUUCUGCAAUUCUUUCACAUAACCUCUCACACUCUCUCACUAAAACCCUACAAAAGCUUAAAAAAAAACCAGAGUCUCUCUCUCUCUCUCUCUUUGCUGCAAAACACUUACCAAUUACAUAUCCACAUUGAAAAUCCUUCUCUCUCUAAAUCCUGCAUCUCUCUCCUUCUAAAUGUAAAUGUGUAAGCUCAAUCUCUUUCUGUAUCCAUCUGUAUUGCCUAUCCAUAGAUAGUUCAUGAAGUCAAC